rnacentral:rRNA from 1 species
CUCAGUACGAGAGGAACGGGGCGCCGCGGCCUCUGGUGUACCGGUUGUGCGGCCGCGCAUCGCCGGGUAGCUAAGCCGCCGGGGAUAAGGGCUGAAGGCAUCUAAGCCCGAAGCCCCUCCCGAAAAUAGGCGGCCAUAAGGGUCCCCGUAGAAGACGGGGUUGAUGGGGUGGGGGUGUAAGGG